AUUGAACGCUGGCGGCAGGCCUAACACAUGCAAGUCGAGCGGAUGAAGGGAGCUUGCUCCUGGAUUCAGCGGCGGACGGGUGAGUAAUGCCUAGGAAUCUGCCUGGUAGUGGGGGAUAACGUCCGGAAACGGGCGCUAAUACCGCAUACGUCCUGAGGGAGAAAGUGGGGGAUCGUCGGACCUCACGCUAUCAGAUGAGCCUAGGUCGGAUUAGCUAGUUGGUGGGGUAAAGGCCUACCAAGGCGACGAUCCGUAACUGGUCUGAGAGGAUGAUCAGUCACACUGGAACUGAGACACGGUCCAGACUCCUACGGGAGGCAGCAGUGGGGAAUAUUGGACAAUGGGCGAAAGCCUGAUCCAGCCAUGCCGCGUGUGUGAAGAAGGUCUUCGGAUUGUAAAGCACUUUAAGUUGGGAGGAAGGGCAGUAAGUUAAUACCUUGCUGUUUUGACGUUACCAACAGAAUAAGCACCGGCUAACUUCGUG
rnacentral:rRNA from 1 species